rnacentral:tRNA from 1 species
GCAGGUAUAGUUUAACUAAAACCUUAAGCUGUGGACUUAAAAAUAAAGACUAACCACCCUUUACCUACC